GAGGUAUGUUAUUCAAAGAUAAGCUUCUAACUUAAUCUUUAAGCUGUGCAAUUCAGUUUGUUCCUCU
rnacentral:tRNA from 1 species